GAAAGAGGAGACAGAGAAAAUCCCAAGCAGGCUCCACGCUCAGCGCAGAGCCCGGCACAGGGCUCAUCCCGUGACUGUGAGAUCAUGACCUGAGCAGAAAUCAAGAGUCGGAGGUUUAACCGAAUGAGCCACCCAGGCACCCCCUCUUACUUUUUUUUCUUAAUCUUUCUUUCUUCCAGAACCCAGGUGAAGAAAUUAAUUUAUCUGCCCAAAGUAAUAUCACUAUCACAUGAAUAUUUGAAGGAAUGAGUGAGUGAAUCAUAAUGAGCUGAAAGAAAGCUCCAUGAAAACAGAAUGUUGCUCUUCCCUUUCACCCAGUAUCUUCGGCACCAAGAACAGGACCCGUGCAGAGUGAAUCAAGGAUAAGCAAAACAACGUGUUUAUCUGGUGCCCAUCUCCCUGGCUGAACACUCCUCUGAAAGUGACCGUUGGACUGUGCCAGAGCAGAGCUGUCCACACCAAGUGAUGCUUCAUAGCAACUCUGUCUUUGGUGAACUUACUGGCAUCCCCUUAUAUAUAAGCUGUGGCCUGAUAACCUUAAGCAUAGUUCCAUAAAGUUCCUACCCAAGGCCAUGGAGUUGACUGCUGACUAGCAAGCUGUUCUCUACUUUGUACAGGUGUCUAUUUGGGGAGGGAGAAGGUAGAAGAGCCAGUGAAGGUUUGCUUAAACUAUUCUUACAGCGAAAACACUGGCUGUCAUCACAAAAUAUUAAAAAUUAAAGUGCCAGAGACGGUUUUUAGUGGCCCUGGCUUUUACAGGUGCUAAGCUUUUGAGUAAUAGGGGAGUGUCUUUCCAGGAAACUGCAACCUUUUACCAUUGCAACAGCGGAAAACAUCUGUGGCAGGAAGAUAUUUUCUGAGCUUACUGCUACUUGAACGUAGUGAUGUUGUGUCUCCUAAAAUUCCUACCUUGCCUUAAUUGAUGAAAAAGAAGUACCAUUCAGUGAGCCUCCCCCUCCUCACUAUAUGUGUCAGAUAUUCCGCAUGUUAUUUUCAGUCUUUACAAGCACUCAUCAAAGUAUCGCUUUCCCCCAUUAUACAAAUGAUGAAACUCAAGCACAGGAGUUUGCCCAAGGUCACAGAGCUAGAGGGGCCAGAGCUGGGAUUCCAAAUCAGUUCUAACACUCAAGCCAAGACUUUUCUGGUAUGCCAUAUUCUCUGUCCAGUAGUAACAGAGCUUCUAAGACCUAAUGAGUUUUUAUUCUUUAAAACUGAAUUUUUAAAAAAUGUAAGCAGGGCACUAAGAACUCUGCAGCUUAAUAUUAAUAUUGGUGGGGCAUCUGUGUGGCUCUGUUGGUUGAGCAUCUGACUUCGGCUGAGGUCGUGAUCUCAUGGUUCGUGAGUUCAAGCCCCACACAGGGCUCUGCUCUGACAGCACCAGGCCUGCUUUGGAUUCUCUCUCUCUCCCUCUCUGCCACCUCCCUGUUCAUGGGCACGCACAUGUGCAUGUUUCUGUCUCUCUCUCUCACAAGUAAACAUUAAAAAAAUUUAAUAUUGAUAUUGAUAUAUUACUGGUCUCACAUGGACAAGAACUAAGACUAGGAGAGUAGACCAGGGCUAGAUCAGGAAGUGGCCACAAGGAAAAGAGAAACAAGAUAAAGAAGUGGUCUUACUCCCUCUUAUCAUGGGCCCCAUCAACACACUGGAGACUAGUGGUAUAUUCAAUAGCUACAUAUAAACAUUUAUUUAUUUUUGAGAAACAGAGUGUGAGCGGAUGAGGGGCAGAGAGAGAAGACGACACAGAAUCCGAAAGUAGGUUCCACGCUCUGUCAUUACAGAGCCCGAUCGAUGCGGGGCUCGAACCCACAAACCGUGAGAUCAUGACCUGAGCUGCUUAAUCAACCGAGCCACCCAGGUGCCCGUUAAAAAUGUUUAAAGAAAGGCACCCAUGUAAUAUUUAGAGUUAAUCCUAAUACAUGUAGACCAAGGUUUCUCAACCUUCACACUGUUGACAUUUUGAGUUGAAUAGUUCUUUGUGUGGGGCUCUCCCGUGCAUUGUAGGAUAGGCAGUUUUUCCAUGAGUUGAUUUUUCCCUUCAAAAUAACUAUUAAAUAACUAAGUACUAAAAUAAGCAGCAG